CAAUAGCGUAUAUUAACGUUGUUGCAGUUAAAAAGCUCGUAGUUGGAUUUCUGGAUCGAACGCUUCGUCCGCCGCUGUGCGGUGUGUACUGAGGUUUUGUUUCGAUUCAUCCUUGCAGGGAAGCGAGUUCGAGAUUAAUUUGUCGGCUCGGGGAACUGCAUCUUUUACUGUGAAAAAAUUAGAGUGUUUAAAGCAGGCAUUUUGCUGUGAAUACAUUAGCAUGGAAUAAUAACAUAGGACUUUGGUUCUAUUUUGUUGGUUGGAGGCCAAGGUAAUGAUUAAUAGGGACAGUUGGGGGUAUUCAUAUUUAAUUGUCAGAGGUGAAAUUCUUGGAUUUAUGAAAGAUGAACUCAUGCGAAAGCAUUUACCAAGGAUGUUUUCAUUAA
rnacentral:rRNA from 1 species